rnacentral:rRNA from 1 species
CAGUCGCCACGGGAAUACGGAGGGAGCUAGCGUUGUUCGGAAUCACUGGGCGUAAAGCGCACGUAGGCGGCUAUUCAAGUCAGGGGUGAAAGCCCGGGGCUCAACCCCGGAACUGCCUUUGAAACUAGAUAGCUUGAAUCCAGGAGAGGUGAGUGGAAUUCCGAGUGUAGAGGUGAAAUUCGUAGAAAUUCGGAAGAACACCAGUGGCGAAGGCGGCUCACUGGACUGGUAUUGACGCUGAGGUGCGAAAGCGUGGGGAGCAAACAGGAUUAGAGACCCGAGUAGUCCCUGUUCUCUUAUA